rnacentral:rRNA from 1 species
UACGUAGGGUGCGAGCGUUGUCCGGAUUUAUUGGGCGUAAAGAGCUCGUAGGCGGCUUGUCGCGUCGUCUGUGAAAUCCCGCGGCUCAACCGCGGGUCUGCAGUCGAUACGGGCAGGCUAGAGUUCGGUAGGGGAGACUGGAAUUCCUGGUGUAGCGGUGAAAUGCGCAGAUAUCAGGAGGAACACCGGUGGCGAAGGCGGGUCUCUGGGCCGAUACUGACGCUGAGGAGCGAAAGCGUGGGGAGCGAACAGG